rnacentral:lncRNA from 1 species
AAAAGCUCAACAACGAUGUUUUAGUGUUUCUGCAUUGGUUUUGUUGGGGGACCUCAUAUGUAUAAUCUGUUAUUAACAGAAUUAUUAUUAAGGUCCCACAUGCUCAGACAAAGGAGGCACUGCGGCCUGCAUGUAAAGUCCUCAUCCUGAUAGUAGUGAGUGAGAACAAAGAGAUUUCAAAUCUCAGCGCCAAAACCAGGCGCCAGGCUGGGGACCCAUACCUGGCUCCCCCGCUGACAUCCAACUCCCGCUGACACAAGCGACAAACGGCGGAGAAACUUGGACGCCAGCCGGAAGAACUUGGACGUCAGCCAUCCUGAUUGGACCAAACAAUAGGACGGGCGUGACCAAACACACGGUUAUAAAAGUCGCCGUGACCGAAGACUCGCCCCUUGUUCUCUUCGACCUUGUUCUCUCCCUUGUUCUUUCCGACCCUGUCCCGUUUUCCCCUUGUUCUCUUCGACCCGCUCACUGCCCCACCUGGAGCUUCCCUCUGCACCGGCACGCCUGAAGCCUCCACCGCAGCCAGCAGCUGAACCAACGGAAACGUCGUCACAGAGAACGGGCCUGAUCACCCAUCUACUUCCAGCCACACGUCAGGAAACCGCCAGCGUAAACGCCUCACUCGCCGCCGCAUCAGCUGAUCACGACGCGAUCACCGCGACGCACACCUGGACCGGACCGGACCGGACCGCAACAGCGCAAGCACGCACGCACGCAACGCCGGAGUAGAACUCUUAGGGUAUCAGUAAUUUUUUUAUUGUUGUGUUGUUUCUUUUCCUGCACACACGAUCUGAUCACUGUGCAUUUCCGCGAUCAUGUGACUGUAACGCUGUUACCGAUCUACGUGAACUUAAGGGGUGCAUAUUUAGGUGUUGUAAUCUGUGAUUUUACUAGUUUAAGUGCUUUAGUGUGUUACUGUGUAGUGCUCUGUUUCGGCUGCGACCACGCCAAGCGCACGUUUCAACCACUGCACGCUUCCGCGAUCACGUGACUAUAUCGCAGGAUAUAGCCCCACGUGUUUGUGUGACCACAAGCCUUAUCCACGCUAGUCUCACUUCACACUCCUUUACACGCUUCUUUCCCUGUGAGCGCCAGACACGCGCGCUCCAUUCAAAGGGCUCACCGGCACAUGCGUGCAACUGUGCCACCUCACCACGCCCCUAAAGGGGGGCGCUCUCCUCCUUCCUCCUCCUUUCUCUUUUCUCUCUCUCUUUCUCUUUCUCUCUCUCUCUCUCACACAUACACACACACACUUACACACCUCCUAUCCCAGGUAACGCGCAUACACAUACAGUACUUCCAGACGAACACACCAUAAGAUUAAGUUGUGAUUUGCUGAGUAAUUCAGGAUAGUGUU